rnacentral:rRNA from 1 species
AUGGGGGUUGCCUCUCCUUCGUCGCUGUCUCCGGCCGCCGCCGCCACUGAUAGCCCGCACCCGACCUACACCAAGAUGAUUACGGAAGCGCUCACCGAGCUAGGAGGCACCUCUAGUCGUGAUGCCAUCGCCGGAUUCAUCCUCGGUCGCUUCACCGACCUCCCUGCUGCCCACGACGCGCUCCUAUCUUCCCACCUCCGGUGCCUCGUCUCCGAGGGCGUCGUCUCCGAGGGCAUCAUCCGCAGCUUUGCAUCCAUCUACAUCUUGCCAACCCCGGCCCGGCCCCGCAAGGACCCCCCUCAUCGCUUACAUGCGAGCUACAAUGAUGACAACUCCUCAAGUGAUGACGAUGACGAUGACUACACUUGUGAUGACGACGAUGAUGAAUACACUCCUGCGCGUGCAGCAUACAUGCUGGGAACAAAGCGUGGUCGUGGACGAGUAUCAAGCGCGGCCCCGCCUGUGUCCACACUUGAUUCCUCGAUGACAAAGAGAGGGCGUGGGAGGCCAAGAAAGGAACCAGAAGCAAUGUUAAGGAGCAUCAAGCGUGGCCCUAGUCGCCCUCACAAGGACGCAUCUCCAUUCCCCGCGUCGGCGUCAGCGACCAAGCCCAAGAAAUUGUUGGAUCUCAAUUUGGACCCAUCUGAGGGAUUACAGAUUAGAAGUGAUGAUGAUGAGGAUGUCUACAGUGGUGAUGGUGGUGAUGAUGACGAUGAUGUUGACUACACUCCUAUGCUAGGAGAAAAGCGUGGUUGUGGACACCCACGAAAGAGGGGGUGUGGCUGGCCUUGUAAGGUUGUGUUGUCUGCCAAUGGAGGAGGUGCUUCCUGCCCAUUGACCAAGAGAGGGCGUGGAAGACCAAGGAAGAGACAAAAUGCUUGUCGAUCAGAAGCUUCUUUUCAGAAUGGAGGUGACACAAUGCCUAUGCAAACCCCCGAAGGUGAUUUCUUGAUGCCAAAGAGAGGGCGUGGGAGGCCGACAAAGGAAACAUAA